UGUAAUUUAGUUUGUAGAGGCACUAUUCUUCCCCAUUAGCUGUCACCAAUAAUUCAUGAUAUACUAAAACCUUCAUGCAAAAACUAAACUUAUUGUUUGGAAAUAAACAUAACCAUUGCAUGCAUACGUUAUUCGUUUCAGUCAAGUCUAACUUCUUGUUGAUUUACUAAUCGCCUCGGCAGCUCAAGAAACUGCUCUUGCUUCCACCACGGAUAGGUCUAUUUCCAUCACUUUGACCGACCUGGAUGUGCUUGAUUGUCCCAUUUGCUAUGAAUCCUUGACCAUCCCCGUCUUUCAGUGCUCUGGUUUGGGGGUCUAGCGCAAAACACAAGCCCCAAAGAGUUGGAAAGGAGCAUCUGCUCGAAGAUGAGGAUAUUGUUCAGAUUAUCAAAAAGGUGUGAUUUGGCAGGAACUCAGAAAUAUGUGCAACCUUAGUAUCAAGAUAUCGUUUGUAGGACUAAAGCUUUUGAGACACACAAGCUUGUACUUUGCAGAGUAUACAUCACUCUUUUUGUCUAUUCUUUUAGUCGUAA